rnacentral:rRNA from 1 species
AUUGAACGCUGGCGGCAUGCCUUACACAUGCAAGUCGAACGGCAGCACGGGUGCUUGCCCCUGGUGGCGAGUGGCGAACGGGUGAGUAAUACAUCGGAACAUGUCCUGUAGUGGGGGAUAGCCCGGCGAAAGCCGGAUUAAUACCGCAUACGAUCUACGGAUGAAAGCGGGGGACCUUCGGGCCUCGCGCUAUAGGGUUGGCCGAUGGCUGAUUAGCUAGUUGGUGGGGUAAAGGCCUACCAAGGCGACGAUCAGUAGCUGGUCUGAGAGGACGACCAGCCACACUGGGACUGAGACACGGCCCAGACUCCUACGGGAGGCAGCAGUGGGGAAUUUUGGACAAUGGGCGAAAGCCUGAUCCAGCAAUGCCGCGGGCGUGAAGAAGGCCGUCGGGUUGGAAAGCACUUUUGUCCGGAAAGAAAUCCUUGGCCCUAAUACGGUCGGGGGGAUGACGGUACCGGAAGAAUAAGCACCGGCUAACUACGUG